rnacentral:rRNA from 1 species
GUAGGGUGCAAGCGUUAAUCGGAAUUACUGGGCGUAAAGCGUGCGCAGGCGGUGAUGUAAGACAGUUGUGAAAUCCCCGGGCUCAACCUGGGAACUGCAUCUGUGACUGCAUCGCUGGAGUGCGGCAGAGGGGGAUGGAAUUCCGCGUGUAGCAGUGAAAUGCGUAGAUAUGCGGAGGAACACCGAUGGCGAAGGCAAUCCCCUGGGCCUGCACUGACGCUCAUGCACGAAAGCGUGGGGAGCAAACAGGAUUAGAUACCCUGGUAGUCCACGCCCUAAACGAUGUCAACUGGUUGUUGGGUCUUCACUGACUCAGUAACGAAGCUAACGCGUGAAGUUGACCGCCUGGGGAGUACGGCCGCAAGGUUG